rnacentral:rRNA from 1 species
GGUGAACGCUAGCUAUAGGCUUAACACAUGCAAGUCGAGGGGAAACGGCAUGAGAUGCUUGCAUCUUAUGGACGUCGACCGGCGUACGGGUGAGUAACGCGUAUCCAACCUGCCCGCGAGUAGGGGAUAACCCGCAGAAGUGCGGACUAAUACCCUAUAUAGUCCAAAGAUGCCAUCAGAUUUGGACGAAAGAUUUAUCGCUCGCGGAUGGGGAUGCGUCUGAUUAGCUAGUUGGUAAGGUAACGGCUUACCAAGGCGACGAUCAGUAGCCGACCUGAGAGGGUGACCGGCCACAUUGGGACUGAGACACGGCCCAA